CUCUCUUGGUGGCGAGUGGCGGACGGGUGAGUAAUAUAUCGGAACGUGCCCAGUAGCGGGGGAUAACUACUCGAAAGAGUGGCUAAUACCGCAUACGCCCUACGGGGGAAAGGGGGGGAUUCUUCGGAACCUCUCACUAUUGGAGCGGCCGAUAUCGGAUUAGCUAGUUGGUGGGGUAAAGGCUCACCAAGGCAACGAUCCGUAGCUGGUUUGAGAGGACGACCAGCCACACUGGGACUGAGACACGGCCCAGACUCCUACGGGAGGCAGCAGUGGGGAAUUUUGGACAAUGGGGGAAACCCUGAUCCAGCCAUCCCGCGUGUAUGAUGAAGGCCUUCGGGUUGUAAAGUACUUUUGGCAGAGAAGAAAAGGUAUCUCCUAAUACGAGAUACUGCUGACGGUAUCUGCAGAAUAAGCACCGGCUAACUACGUGCCAGCAGCCGCGGUAAUACGUAGGGUGCAAGCGUUAAUCGGAAUUACUGGGCGUAAAGCGUGUGUAGGCGGUUCGGAAAGAAAGAUGUGAAAUCCCAGGGCUCAACCUUGGAACUGCAUUUUUAACUGCCGAGCUAGAGUAUGUCAGAGGGGGGUAGAAUUCCACGUGUAGCAGUGAAAUGCGUAGAUAUGUGGAGGAAUACCGAUGGCGAAGGCAGCCCCCUGGGAUAAUACUGACGCUCAGACACGAAAGCGUGGGGAGCAAACAGGAUUAGAUACCCUGAUAGUCCACGCCCUAAACGAUGUCAACUAGCUGUUGGGGCCGUUAGGCCUUAGUAGCGCAGCUAACGCGUGAAGUUGACCGCCUGG
rnacentral:rRNA from 1 species